ACGCAAUAGAUACCCGGGUAGUCCACGCCCUAAACGAUGUCUACUAGUUGUCGGGUCUUAAUUGACUUGGUAAACGCAGCUAAACGCGUGAAGUAGACCGCCUGGGGAGUACGGUCGCAAGAUUAAAACUCAAAGGAAUUGACGGGGACCCGCACAAGCGGUGGAUGAUGUGGAUUAAUUCGAUGCAACGCGAAAAACCUUACCUACCCUUGACAUGGAAGGAAUCCCUGAGAGAUUGGGGAGUGCUCGAAAGAGAACCUUUACACAGGUGCUGCAUGGCUGUCGUCAGCUCGUGUCGUGAGAUGUUGGGUUAAGUCCCGCAACGAGCGCAACCCUUGUCAUUAGUUGCUACGAAAGGGCACUCUAAUGAGACUGCCGGUGACAAACCGGAGGAAGGUGGGGAUGACGUCAAGUCCUCAUGGCCCUUAUGGGUAGGGCUUCACACGUCAUACAAUGGUACAUACAGAGGGCCGCCAACCCGCGAGGGGGUAGCUAAUCCCAGAAAGUGUAUCGUAGUCCGGAUUGUAGUCUGCAACUCG
rnacentral:rRNA from 1 species